rnacentral:rRNA from 1 species
AACGUAGGAGACAAACGUUAUCCGGAGUUACUGGGCGUAAAGGGCGUGUAGGUGGUUGUGUAAGUUCGGCGUGAAAUCUCUCGGCUUAACCGGGAGUGGUCGUCGGAUACUGCACGACUAGAGGACGGUAGAGGCGUGUGGAAUUCCGGGUGUAGUGGUGAAAUGCGUAGAGAUGUGGAGGAACACCGAUGGCGAAGGCAGCCUUCUGGGCCAACACUGACGCUCAUGCACGAAAGCGUGGGGAGCAAACAGG